rnacentral:rRNA from 1 species
CCUACGGGAGGCAGCAGUGAGGAAUAUUGGUCAAUGGCCGAGAGGCUGAACCAGCCAAGUCGCGUGAGGGAAGACGGCCCUACGGGUUGUAAACCUCUUUUGUCGGGGAGCAAAGCGAGGCACGUGUGACUCAUUGAGAGUACCCGAAGAAAAAGCAUCGGCUAACUCCGUGCCAGCAGCCGCGGUAAUACGGAGGAUGCGAGCGUUAUCCGGAGUUCUUGGGUUGAAAGGGUGCGCAGGCGGAGGUGCAAGUCAGCGGUCAAAUUGCGGGGCUCCACCCCGUCCUGCCGUUGAAACUGCAUCCCUUGAGUGCGCGAGCCGUCUGCGUACUGCGUGGUGUCGCGGUUACCUGCAUAGAUCUCACGCACAACUCCGCUUGCGCCGGCAGCAUCCCGGCGCGCACCUGACGCUCCUGCACUACAGCGUGGGUAUCUAACCUGCUUAGAUACCUGUAGUC